rnacentral:rRNA from 1 species
UACGUAGGGAGCUAGCGUUGUCCGGAAUCAUUGGGCGUAAAGCGCGCGUAGGCGGCCCGGUAAGUCCGCUGUGAAAGUCAAAGGCUCAACCUUUGAAUGUCAGCGGAUACUGCCGGGCUAGAGUCCGGAAGAGGCGAGUGGAACUCCUGGUGUAGCGGUGAAAUGCGUUGAUAUCAGGAGGAACACCCAUGGCGAAGGCAGCUAACUGGGCAUUAUCUGACGCUGAGGCGCGAAAGCGUGGGUAGCAAACAGG